UAAUCUAGAGAAGUGUUAUCCGCGCUGGACCGUGUAUAAGUCUCCUGGAAUGGAGCGUCAUAGAGGGUGAGAAUCCCGUCUUUGACACGGACUACCAGGGCUUUGUGAUGCGCUCUCAAAGAGUCGAGUUGUUUGGGAAUGCAGCUCUAAAUGGGUGGUAAAUUCCAUCUAAAGCUAAAUAUUGGCGAGAGACCGAUAGCGAACAAGUACCGUGAGGGAAAGAUGAAAAGAACUUUGGAAAGAGAGUUAAACAGUACGUGAAAUUGUUGAAAGGGAAACGCUUGAAGUCAGUCGCGUUAAUCAGGGGAUCAGCCUUGCUUUUGCUUGGUGUACUUCCUGGUGAACGGGUCAGCAUCAAUUUUGAUCAGUGGAAAAAGACCAGGGGAAUGUGGCAUCUUCGGAUGUGUUAUAGCCUCUGGUCAUAUACAUUGAUUGGGAUUGAGGAACUCAGCACGCCGCAAGGCCGGGUUUUACCACGUUCGUGCUUAGGAUGCUGGCAUAAUGGCUUUAAUCGACCCGUCUUGAAACACGGACCAAGGGAGUCUAACAUGCCUGCGAGUGUUUGGGUGGAAAACCCAUGCGCGUAAUGAAAGUGAAAGUUGGGAUCCUUGUCAUGGGGAGCACCGACGCCCGGACCAGACCUUUUGUGACGGAUCCGCGGUAGAGCAUGUAUGUUGGGACCCGAAAGAUGGUGAACUAUGCCUGAAUAGGGUGAAGCCAGAGGAAACUCUGGUGGAG
rnacentral:rRNA from 1 species